GUUAGUAGGCAUUCAUUUGAACAAACAAAUUCAACAAAAGAGUAAGCUAAGCAUUUCGGAUGGCUCAAGUGUGUCCUCUUGGAAAAAGUAAAUGGCCAGAAGUUGUGGGCUUAAAAUUUUGUGUUGCUGCUGAAGUAAUAGAAAGGGAGAAUCCUAACGUCAAAGCACAAAAGAUUCAAGUUGGGAGUCCAAGAAUUUUAAAUUUCAAUCCUUCACGAGUUUGGGUUGAUGUCAAUCAUGACGAUAUAGUUGUUUUGGUUCCUAUAGUUGGUUAAAAAUAUAUGCAUGUAUUAAUGUAAAAUAUAUGAAAUUACUAAUAAGGUACUAUCCAACUACCACUUUCAUUA